rnacentral:rRNA from 1 species
ACUCCUACGGGAGGCAGCAGUAAGGAAUAUUGGACAAUGGGCGCAAGCCUGAUCCAGCCAUCCCGCGUGCAGGAAGACAGCCCUAUGGGUUUUAAACUGCUUUUAGAAGGGAAGUAAACGGCCUAACAUUUAUUGUGGGUUUGUACGGUACCUUCAGAAUAAGCACCGGCUAACUCCGUGCCAGCAGCCUCGGUAAUACGGAGGGUGCGAGCGUUAUCCGGAAUUACUGGGUUUAAAGGGUGCGUAGGCGGGCGAUUAAGUCAGAGGUGAAAGCUUUCAGCUUAACUGAGAAAUUGCCUUUGAUACUGAUUGUCUUGAAAUAUGUUGAGGUUAGCAGAAUGUGGCAUGUAUCGGUGAAAUGCAUAGAUAUGCCAUAGAAUACCAAUUGCGAAGGCAGCUAACUGGGCAUUAUUUGACGCUGAGGCACGAAAGCGUGGGGAGCGAACAGGAUUAGAUACCCUGG